ensembl:lncRNA
GGGAGGGGCUGGCACAGUCCUAUUUCAAAACACAAUGCUUGUGUAGUCACCGAGGCAGAUAGCCCUCAGGGCCAUGUGCAACUUCUUUAGCCAAGAAGAGAAUAAAAAUACCUUUUAACUGUUUGGGUCUUCCCUAGACCUUCUUUUUCAGGAUCUCUCAGGCUGUCCUCCAGAAACAUUAGGUUGAAUUACCAGUCCUUUCACCUUCAUCGCAUGUACCAACAGCUCGCAAAGAGGUCUGUUUGAUCCUUGGAGAAAUAAGACAAAUGAAAUGUGAGCCUACAGAAUCAUAAGACCUCAGCAAGGUCUACAGCAGGACUAGGAAAAAUUACAUGGCCGAGCAUUGAACAGUCUGCUCCGGAAACUGCUGGAGUCCCCCUCUCUGGAGGUAUUAAAGAGAAAUAUCAAGAUGGCACAAAGGGACAUGGUCUGGUGAGAGAACUUGUUAGAUCAGGCUAAUGGUUGGACUUCAAAUCAUCUUAGAAGGUCUUUUCCAAACUCUGUGAUUCCACGGUUCUAUGAAAGUGUGCUUUGAAAGACUGCUGAAUAUAUGAAAAUUUGCUCCUCUGAAAGAGUGGUUGAGCAUUGGAACAGGCUGCCCACAGAGGUGGUGGGGUCACUGCCCCUGGAGGUGUUCAAGAAAUGUGAAGAUGUGGCACUCAGGGACAUGGUUUAGUGGGCAAUAUUGGUGGUAGGUGGACAGUUGGACUGGAUGAUCUUAGAGGUCUUUUCCAACCUUAAUUAGUCUAUGAUUCUAUGACUGUAUAAGCAGUUUUAGUGGCAAUUACUUCAAAAGAAUUUAGUGUACUAAUAGACAAUUCUUCAAGUCAAUCUUUUUUUCAUUUCUUCAUUCACUUCAACUAGCUUUCCCAUCAAAGGAAAAUAUUUCUCUCUUAUCCCUUCAUUCAUUUUCCUUAGUACCUAAGCCUUUGGCUCCCAAGCAUUUCAGCUCCCUGUACACAUGGGCAGCACACUGAACAUCUCCAACUCAUCUGUCUAAAUUUGUCCUAAAUUUGGACACAGAUACACAUGGUCAAAUUCAAUCACACUGCUGAAAAAAACAGGAGAGCAUUUCUGGUCCUAGAGGCUACAUCAUGGGGCGGCUCAGUAUGCCUGAGCUCAUUUGGCACUUACGUCUCCGAGCUCCAUGGGCUGAAGUGAGUCAGUAGCUUGGUGCCGCGGAUAUUGGAAUGGGCUGUAAUAUGCCUGUCUCAGUGGGCCAGCCAUUUAUUCUGACAAACAUCAAGCCAGAUGCUACCUGAACCCCAGGCUUUCUGAAAGCCUGGGCACUUCUCCAACCCAGGUUGUGCCUUUUAAGCCUUGUAUCCCAUGAGGAAACAAACCCAAGAGGACUGCUGCUAGGUGCUGAAGUCAGAGGAGAGAGCAGGUGACAGUCACAGAGCAAUGUGCUGAUUUUAUCCUCUAUUCAGUGAGGCAAAUAACUAGCAGAGCCACCUGAAGAACAAGGAAAACACUGCCUGUGAAGAGCAUGUGACCAUCUUGGUGCCAAAAGAAUACCGACAAGAGCUGUGAUUUGGAAGAGGGUUGCGAGGCUUUAAAGCAUUUGCCCUUUGAUACCUGUGGAUCACACAAUACAUAGUGAGACCUGAGCAGCUCUAUAGGCUUGCAAUUCCCUAUCUGCAAGACAGAUAAGUGGUAUUCAUCUCUCAUUCCUCCAUGCAACAGGAAUUCCAAGCCCUGGCUCUUCUUAAUAUUCCUUCGUACCUUGGAGCAUUGUGUAUUCUUUGUCUCAUUGUGUCUGUCCCAUGCUGUGAUUUCUCUGAAUUUGAUGAUGUUGGUUUCUUGGGCAUAAAAUGACUCAUGACUUCAUACUACAGAUAAGACAUCUUGUGACUUCCAGAUGACUUCAGCUGUCUUCACUUUGCUGUAGGCAGUUCCAAGGGACUUUGCUUCAUACAUUCAGACUUGUGCAUGGCCAUAUGCAUUUAUCACAGCACACAGCAAUUACUGGCACUGCUCUUUGAGGUGCCAGCAACUGCCCUCUUGCUCCAAGUGAAAGGAGUUAAAGACUCAGUUUUGGGCAUGGUGGCUGGGAUUAAAUCACCUCUGACGCACUUCCUUCUGUGGGUGACAGCCAGUUCCUCACUGUGUUUCCAGGUCCUGCACGGAAACCCCUGGGACGGUGAUGAUGGUCUGGUGAUGGCACACUGCUGGCAACAUUCUCUUGUGGUGAACACAGAAAGACCCCUUCCUAAAGCAGACAGCAAAGAAAACCAGCAGUAUCACCUCAGUCUGCUCAGCCUGCUGAUUAAAGGACUGGAAAUAUGGAAAGAGGGAAGAAAACGGGUGCUGCUGGCUGCAUGCAAACACCAGAGUGCUACAGCACUCUACCUGGAACUCUCUGCAGGUUUGCUUUCAGCUGGGACAGUUGUUUUUUUUUUUUUUCAUAGUGUCUAAUACCAUGCUAUGUUUUGGCUUCGGGAGAAAACAAUGUUACUACCACAUGUUUUUGUUCUUGCUGAGCAGUGUUGUACAGAACCAAUGAUGUUUCAACUUCUGGUACUGCGCUGUCAGUGACGGGGGCUUCAGGGCACAGCAGACAGACCACGACAGCUGACCUGAACUGGCCAAAGGGAUACUUCAUGCAGUAUAGCAUCACGUGAAAAUACUGUAAAACUGAGGGAAGUUGGCUGGAUGGGUAACCACUGCUUGGAGACUGACUGGGCACCAGCUGUUUUCAAGCGUGUUCCUGCUCUUGGACUCCCUCAUUACAUGUGAGAGAAGAAAUGGCUGUGAGUAUCAGUUGUGAAAACGGCUUCCUUUCUGGCAGCUCAAGAAAUGGGAGUUCCCCCAUUCCUGAUCAUGCCGGGCAUACAGGCUGGCAUGAGAAACAUUAGUAGCUGGGGAUAACAUUUAGGUGAUGAAUAGAUGAGGACAAAUAGUCUCUCCUUAAUGACCCAAAAGCUGCUGUUACCUGACUCUUGAGCAGCAAGGAAAAAGAAGAUAGAGGUGGAAUGGUUAUAUGCUGACAGGGUGAAUAACCAAGAAUGACCAGAAAAAAAAGUUAAUAUUCAUAUGUUCACAAGACAUCUGGCGAUAUGCCUCCCAGUGACAUCAUAGCUUUUUUGACAUCUCUCCUUCCAAUGACCUAACGUUUGGAUAUGCUGAAUAUUUGAGGGUAACUUGCCACAUAUUCUGGACUUCCAUUCCUCAGCUGAAUGACUAAUUUGUAUGUGCUCAGAACUAAACAGUUUGUGGGAUGCCCUGCUGUUCAUUAUAAUUUUCUAUGCACUUUGAAUUUGUUGGGGAAAAAAAAAAAAAAGGCUUCAAAAGCAUAGAGGCAUGAAAAUGGAAGGAACCUCUGAAGAACAUCUGGUCCAAUUCCUGCUCAGAGCAGGGUCUCAAGCUACAGCAGGUUGCUUGAGGCUUUGUGCAGUUCUGUUCUGAGCAUCCCCAAAGAUGAGCGAAUUCACCAGUUUGAUCAACUUCAAGGUAUUUUUUUCCUUCUUAUAUCUCAAUCUGUGCCACCACCUCUCACUCUGACACUGAACACCCAAUGAGUAACAUUGGCGAUGUUGUCUUCACUCCCCUCAUGAGGUAUUUAAGGUAAAAUCCUCCUGAGCCACCUUUUCUUCAGCCUGAACAGUUCCAGCUCUUUCAGUCUCUCCUCAUAUAUCAAAUGCUCCAGUACCUUAACCAUUCUAGUGGCCUAUCUUCUAUGAAAUACUGUAUAAUAAAGGCCAUUAGAGGCAAGCCCCAGCCACAAAACUUACCAAUGCACAUGUGAUAAACAAUAAAUACUUUGACCUUUUAAAAAAAUGCUUAUAUGAGAUCUCACUUGCUGUUGAUUAUGAAUCAGUGAACAUCUUUCUCUGCUCUUGCCUCCUCGGCCUCUUUCAUCCUAACAAGAAUAUUAAUUUAUUUUACAUUUAUAUCACACUUAUCGUGAAAACUAACAAUUCUUUUUAAGGUAAUUAUUUUAGAAACCUGUCCUGCAAUACAAGGUUGCACUGAUUCUAUAAAAGUUUAACUAAAACUCUGGUGAAGUAAAUAGAUUUGUUUUUGAAGCGUAAUGACUUCUCCUCUGUUCACAGUACCAUGGUCAGGGUACACAUUUGCCAUGUAAGAAUUUCACAAGCAAUCCCAAAUUACUUUUAAAGCCUGUGUGUUAGGACAGGAAAGACUACAGCACAAGGGUACAGCUGAGUCAAUGCUGAGCCCAAAGCAUAGACAUGCCCAACAUAAACAUUGUGUGUGUGCUGCUCACAGCCAGAUAAGUCACGCAUGCAUCAGUUGAUAAGCGUGACAGUCAGUUUACUUCCAGUUUACUUCAAUGGUGAGAAUAGCACAAGAAGCAGUCUCCUCAAGCCCUGAUCACAUAAUUACAUGAAUUUACCUCCUUGUUGCCAUGGGGCUGCUUGUGGUGUGUAAUUUCUAAUAGCUGGAACACUCUAGGCUGCAUCUCUCAUGGAUCAACAGUGAUUGUUUUCUUGAAAAACAAAAGAAAAUCUGAUUAACUUUUAGGACAAGGAGCAGAAAACACUGCCAGCCAAGCACAUCGCUUUUGACAGAACAUUCCUCCAAACGUUCUGCAGUCUAUGAAAGGAGACCCUUUCCCCACUUUCUUUUUCCCCCAUUUCUGUCUCCUUGCAUGAGCAGCACUGGGCCAAGGCACCACAGCUGCCUUUUACAAAAGUGCCAGUAGCCCUGGGGGUAGCACCGUUCCCAAUUCGUGUGGGAGCCACUUUCCCCACCAAAAUCUGGGGCCCCUCUGCUUAACUGUUGUUAUUACUGUUAGUAAUACUUGCAGGGUGCAGCCAUACCCGCUGACACAAGACCACCCGAAGCCCGAGGCCCCCUAACACCCAUCGCUCCAUCUCCGCGCCCCAAAAUCCCCCCAUAUCCG